AGUUCAAGACGCUUUGGACGCUGGGCCUUCUGCGGAUUCACCAUCAUGCGGCUUCUCCUGUUGAAGACAAUUACGCGAGAUCUUGUAGGAGCCUACCUUUCUGCCCACACGAUUGUUGUGCAGAUUCAUGAGGCUCCUGGCGUCACCUUCGAUUUCUCUGGCAUCCAGAAACUUCCGAGCAAACUUCAUCCCGAACCCAAUGUCAGCUGAGCAUCCACCCCAUUUCCAGUCCUGAGAUAAUUAUGGGUGGUAUUUAUCUCAAAGGUGUGAGAUCUUGCAGAAUUUUGUGAUAUUACCUGAUUCUGCUGCGACAGCGGAGUUCGAUCACAGCCACAGAGUGAUAUAUUACCUCUGGCACAAGCUGCCACAAUGGAAUGGACAGCACCCGCACUUGCAAUCGCGUACGUGAAUGCUGCCUCUUUGGAUCCUGCACAGAGCAAGAAAAAAACCAGCAUCUUUAAAAAUUGUUGCAGCAACUGAGAAACAGAGAACAGUAGAGGCGCCUUGUGUUAUCUCCUGGAAAGUGGGUAGCAACCUGUUAAUUGAUUUCUUGACUCUAAACUUGGACGAUGUUAUCGAAAAUUAGAGAAUUUAUUGCGACCA